rnacentral:tRNA from 1 species
GGGUAUAUAGUUCAGCAGAAGAGUGUGUGCUUAGCAUGCACAAGGUCCUGGGUUUAAUCCCCAGUACCUCCU